GUCCGCACAGAGCCUGAUGUGGGGCUGGAAUCCACAAACUGAGAAGCAGAUGCCGUCCCAGAGAGCACGCGGCCUGAAUAAACAAAUCACUGCGAUUCGGAGCAGAGCGCGCCUGUCAGCACCGGCCUUCCACGACUUCCAAAGGAGAAGUUUCCAAAACAAAAAUCUUUGCUUAGCUUUGGAAAUGAUA